GACGAACGCUGGCGGCGUGCUUAACACAUGCAAGUCGAACGGAAAGGCCCUGCUUUUGUGGGGUGCUCGAGUGGCGAACGGGUGAGUAACACGUGAGUAACCUGCCCUUGACUUUGGGAUAACUUCAGGAAACUGGGGCUAAUACCGGAUAGGAGCUCCUGCUGCAUGGUGGGGGUUGGAAAGUUUCGGCGGUUGGGGAUGGACUCGCGGCUUAUCAGCUUGUUGGUGGGGUAGUGGCUUGCCAAGGCUUUGACGGGUAGCCGGCCUGAGAGGGUGACCGGCCACAUUGGGACUGAGAUACGGCCCAGACUCCUACGGGAGGCAGCAGUGGGGAAUAUUGCACAAUGGGCGGAAGCCUGAUGCAGCAACGCCGCGUGCGGGAUGAUGGCCUUCGGGUUGUAAACCGCUUUCGCCUGUGACGAAGCGUGAGUGACGGUAAUGGGUAAAGAAGCACCGGCUAACUACGUG
rnacentral:rRNA from 1 species